CGCUGCCUCGCUGACGACCUGCUUCCAAAAAUGGCAUCAAGUCUACCGCAAAUGUACAGGCAGUACAGGUAGUGCAAAGAGCGCCUACGGCAGUGGCUCAGUGGUUAGCACUCGAAGUGCUGAGGUCCUGGGUUCGAAUCCAACCAAGGACAACAUCUGCAUGGAGUUUGUAGGUCCUCCCUGUGUUUGCCUGGGUUUCCUUCCUGAUAGGAAGUUUAGAUUGUGAGCCCCACUGGGGACGCACUGUUGAUUGGCUGUUGUUGGACUGUUCACUGCUAGACGAAGGCGUGCACCAUUUAUGCAAUUAACAGGCUUUGUAAAGGGCCAAAUUGUAGACUUCGAAGAAGCUUGAUGGUCCAUCCGUCAAAUCUAGGAAAAAGUUGGAUGAGAAGUUUCCUUAGUGUAUCGGUGGUGUUGACAGUGGUCAGAGGAGAGUGCUCACACAAUUAGAGAGACGGUCAAGACAGACAGGUGCAUGCCAAGAUCGCCAUAUAUGAAGAGCUAAGGACAGCCAUAGCAUCACAAAUUGCUUCUGCAGUAGUCCUUACAGUGACUGCCUGGACUAUAAGAAACUGUCUGCUGGAAGCGGGACUGAGUUCACACACUCCAAUAUCUCGUUUGCCACUGACCUUUCAUCAUCACCAAGAGCACCUGCACUGGUGCCACGAGAGAGCCCAAUGGAGGCAUGAAUGGCAAACAAUAGUGUUCAGUGAUGAAAGCAGGUGGCCACAUCAGAGUUUGGAGGAAGGCUGGAGAGCGCCCACUGCCAUCAUGCAUAGUGCGGAGACACACAGGACCCGCACCCAGUAUCAUGAUGUGGGACGUCAUUAGCUACCAUGUCUGAUAUUCAUGAAGGGAACACUCCCCAGCCUUCAGUAUGUCCAGAACAUCGUGGAACCAGUCCUACUGCCAUUUUUGACCCAGUUACAAGAUGUGGUGUUCCAACAAGAUAACGCUGCCCGCACACCGCAGUUCCCAUGGCCAGCUCGAUCACCAGAUCUCUCCCCCAUUGAGAAUGUCUGGGACUGGAAGGGGUGAAGGAUCUGUCAUGCACAGCCUCCAACAACCACCUUGGCUGAACUACAUACAGGUCCAGGUUGAAAAAGCUUGGAAUAACAAACCACAGUAGGAUAUCUAGCAUCUGUAUGACCACUACCAUACCACAGUGGCAGCCUGUAUCACAGCUAGGGGAGAUGCCACCCAGUAUUAAUGUGACCUUGCCUCAACAUGUAACCUGCUGCAGAACCUAAAAUAAAGGGUGCACCACCUUGGUUGUGUGCUGAUUGACCAAG